UACGAAGGGUGCAAACGUUGCUCGGAAUUAUUGGGCGUAAAGCGCACGUAGGCGGCUAUCUAAGUCGGAUGUGAAAUCCCUCGGCUUAACCAAGGAAGUGCACCCGAAACUGGAUAGCUUGAGUACAGAAGAGGAUCGCGGAAUUCCCGGUGUAGAGGUGAAAUUCGUAGAUAUCGGGAGGAACACCAGUGGCGAAGGCGGCGAUCUGGGCUGAUACUGACGCUCAUGCACGAAAGCGUGGGGAGCAAACAGG
rnacentral:rRNA from 1 species